GGGGGGUGGAGUAGAAUCAGGGAGGUUUUUUUCUUUCUUUCUCUUUUUUAGACUGAGCAAAGCAGUACAGCUGGGGGAGGUCAAGGUUAAAAUUAACCGAGAGGAUGGAGCGACAAGAGUGAGUCAAUGAGAAAUGCUAGAAGCACUAAUUUUAAAGAGCCCUCUCUACUUCCGAUAUUGGGGUUAAUUGCCAAAAUGAAGCGGUGUGCCUUGAAAUGGAUCAGCAGCUUGUGCGAAUAUUUAAUUUCCAACCAUUGUACUAAACAACCAUGGAGACGCUAUUCAAUGUGGGAAACAAGGAAAUCCAGAGAAGCAAAAUCGGGACAAUUUAGGAAGAGAGCUGGUGUUAAAGCUGAGGGCCCAUUCUCCACACAGAAGCAAGAUGGUCCUGCGAGACCAGAGUGGGGUCUUUUAGAAGAGGCUGACAUAUAAAGAAAAUUGGCUGCCUAACCGCUAGAAUAGUCAAGAUGUCCUUGUGUAUAAAGGUCUGUGAAAUUCUCUUGAUGGUGGCAGCAAAUGCACUUUUGCUGCCAUUUGCACAGCAUCCGUUCCUUUUCUGGGAAGGGGCCCCAAGAUCCCUCAAGGACCCCCCUUUUCACUCCAUUGCUAUGGUGCUGGCAUCCUGUCCUUUCUGUGAUAGGGAUGGUCCUAACCUGGACCAACCAGAUGUUCCCUCCCUGGCACAUGACUCUGAAGUAGAGCCACACAAAGCCUCAAGAAGACCAGAGAUCUGCUCAGGGGAGGUCCCUGCAGA
rnacentral:lncRNA from 1 species